UACGAAGGGGGCUAGCGUUGCUCGGAAUCACUGGGCGUAAAGCGCACGUAGGCGGCUUUCUAAGUCAGGGGUGAAAUCCUGGAGCUCAACUCCAGAACUGCCUUUGAUACUGGAGAGCUUGAGUCCGGAAGAGGUGAGUGGAACUCCGAGUGUAGAGGUGAAAUUCGUAGAUAUUCGGAAGAACACCAGUGGCGAAGGCGGCUCACUGGGUCCGGUACUGACGCUGAGGUGCGGAAAGCGUGGGGAGCAAACAGG
rnacentral:rRNA from 1 species